rnacentral:rRNA from 1 species
UGCCGCGUGUGUGAAGAAGGCCUUAUGGUUGUAAAGCACUUUAAGCGAGGAGGAGGCUACUUUAGUUAAUACCUAGAGAUAGUGGACGUUACUCGCAGAAUAAGCACCGGCUAACUCUGUGCCAGCAGCCGCGGUAAUACAGAGGGUGCAAGCGUUAAUCGGAUUUACUGGGCGUAAAGCGCGCGUAGGCGGCUAAUUAAGUCAAAUGUGAAAUCCCCGAGCUUAACUUGGGAAUUGCAUUCGAUACUGGUUAGCUAGAGUGUGGGAGAGGAUGGUAGAAUUCCAGGUGUAGCGGUGAAAUGCGUAGAGAUCUGGAGGAAUACCGAUGGCGAAGGCAGCCAUCUGGCCUAACACUGACGCUGAGGUGCGAAAGCAUGGGGAGCAAACAGGAUUAGAUACCCUGGUAGUCCAUGCCGUAAACGAUGUCUACUAGCCGUUGGGGCCUUUGAGGCUUUAGUGGCGCAGCUAACGCGAUAAGUAGACCGCCUGGGGAGUACGGUCGCAAGACUAAAACUCAAAUGAAUUGACGGGGGCCCGCACAAGCGGUGGAGCAUGUGGUUUAAUUCGAUGCAACGCGAAGAACCUUACCUGGCCUUGACAUAGUAAGAACUUUCCAGAGAUGGAUUGGUGCCUUCGGGAACUUACAUACAGGUGCUGCAUGGCUGUCGUCAGCUCGUGUCGUGAGAUGUUGGGUUAAGUCCCGCA